UACCAGCUCUCCGAGUGGUAAGGAUGAUUAUUGGGCUUAAAGCGUCCGUAGCCGGCUUAGCAAGUUUCCUGUUAAACUCUGCGACUUAAUCGUUGAAUCGCGGGAAAUACUACUAGGCUAGGAGGCGGGAGAGGUCAACGGUACUUCUGGGGUAGGGGUGAAAUCCUAUAAUCCCGGGAGGACCACCAGUGGCGAAGGCUGUCGACUAAAACGCGCUCGACGGUGAGGGACGAAAGCUGGGGGAGCGAACCGGAUUAGAUACCCGGGUAGUCCCAGCUGUAAACGAUGCGGGCUAGGUGUUGGGGUGGCUACGUGCCACUUCAGUGCCGCAGGGAAGCCAUUAAGCCCGCCGCCUGGGGAGUACGGCCGCAAGGCUGAAACUUAAGGAAUUGGCGGGGAGCACCACAAGGCGUGAAGCUUGCGGUUC
rnacentral:rRNA from 1 species